GCCUUAAUAAUUUAAAUAAAAAUAUUGACCUUGUAAGUCAAAAAUAAGGAUAACUUUUAAGGCU